rnacentral:rRNA from 1 species
UACGUAGGGGGCAAGCGUUGUCCGGAUUUAUUGGGCGUAAAGCGCGUGUAGGCGGCCACGCAGGUCCGCUGUGAAAACUCGAGGCUCAACCUCGAGAUGUCGGUGGAAACCGCGUGGCUAGAGUCCGGAAGGGGAGAGUGGAAUUCCCGGUGUAGCGGUGAAAUGCGCAGAUAUCGGGAAGAACACCCAUGGCGAAGGCAGCUCUCUGGGACGGUACUGACGCUGAGACGCGAAAGCGUGGGGAGCGAACAGG